UUUGUUUGUGUUCUCCGAGCAACGGAUUAUAACAAUGGUCAAAUCUGCAGUCUUUAACUUUCUUUUGAAACACCGUCACUCUAUAACAACGCCUUUGUUGCCUACAGAAUGGACAUAAGGAAACCCACAGAGAGUGAGUCAUUCUGGAGUUUUGGAAAAGAACGGGACUUCAAACCUCACAUUACACACAUUGAGCCUGUGCUCACUGAAUGUGACCUUGACUGGAAAUCCCAUAUGCGCUGGAUACCUGAACCUCGAUACAGCGAUGCCCCAUUUCCACACAUCAAAGACAUAAAGUUUCCAAGUGAAAGAAAACUCAUGAGAUCAUUCCCACAGGCUAAUAUGGUGUCUGGGUCUGAAUGGAGUUUUUAUCCAAACCUUGGACAGCCCAAAACCUAUCACAAUGGAAAAAGAUGUUAUAUGGAUGGCAUUAAUCAUACAAGAAGCACAAGAUGCAUUUCAGAAAAUUCUCUGGAAUCAUCCAUAGGGAAGAAAAAGCAGGAUGAAAGAAAACAUAAAGACAACUGGAACAUGUGGAGGUGACAGACAAAUACAGCAAUUACCCAUCAAGAAAGGUCAGACCAUUUCUAGUUCCAGAGUACAGCCCUGACUUUCAUAAAUGUGAAUCAGCAGCAUGGUGCACAACCAAUUAUGGGUCCAGUUAUUGUGGCGCAUUGAAGUCACUUAUUCACUUAAAACCCCCAACAAAAUAUAAAAGGCCACCAUAUGCAGAGAAUCAUAAAGGUCGUGUGCGAGAGGAGGAUAUUCUUGAAGUCAAGAGUUUAAACAGUUGGAGACCAGCACCAGACAUCUAUGACAGGACAGUUCUGCAGGAUAUGUAAUUUGAAAGGUGUUGUUAUUGUUAGUGUUUUCUCCUUUGUUAGACACAUCUCAGUUUCAUCAAAAGUGUUUUCUUUCCUUCAACACCCACUCAUGGCUUGCAGUAUUUUGGUGUUAAUAAUUUAGAACUGCACGUUGGACUGAAACAGGACAAAAUGCCACAGGCUUCAGACAGUCAAAAUGAUUUGACCUUUUUCCUUGCCUUAUUAGUUGGGCCUCUAUCAAAUAGAUUUUCCUUAAUUCCCUGACAAAGACAAAUGAAGGUCUUUUCACUUAGUCAAAAUGUAAUUGCAGGGUAGAAUAAGGAGCAGUAAAAACCAUCUAUGUGCUCUGUUACUUUUGUAAUCA